CUGGUCUCAGACGAUCCCGCAGAUGAGAAAUAGUAGACUAGCACAGGCACAAACCCACAGAACACAACAUAAAAGCCAGCAGAUAUCAAGUAAAGAGAGAGCGGAGACUUACCGAUUUGACAGCUGAGUUAGCUACCAAAGAAGAGCCAAGGGAGUCAGCUAAUCGAAUAGCGAUAUACUGAGGAAAUGUCUCGACUUGGUCAGAGGAGUUAGAGGUCUCUCCUGGGUGAAUGACAACAUAAAAACAGGCUAACAACUGGAGAGAGCGACACGCGGCCUGAGGCAGCGACACGCGGCCUGAAGCAGCGACACGCGGCCUGAAGCAGCGACACGCGGCCUGAAGCAGCGACACGCGGCCUGAAGCAGCGACACGCGGCCUGAAGCAGCGACACGCGGCCUGAAGCAGCGACACGCGGCCUGAAGCAGCGACACGCGGCCUGAAGCAGCGACACGAGGCAUCGAAGCAGCGGCCUGAGGCAUCGAAGCAGCGGCCUGAGGCAUCGAAGCAGCGGCCUGAGGCAUCGAAGCAGCGGCCUGAGGCAUCGAAGCAGCGGCCUGAGGCAUCGAAGCAGCGGCCUGUGGCAGCGACGCAUAGCUGCUCAUACUUCUAACAACUUUACCUUCAAACCAAAUUGUUUGCACAUUUAACUAAACCAAUGCCAUCAGAGGUGAAGAGUGAAAUAAAAAUAGAUUGCCUCAUGCAGUACUGGCCCUCAGGUUUUUAAAUGUUGUAAAUGUUAAUGUGUUGUAAAUGUUCAUAUGUGCUCAAAUGUAGGCCGGUGCUGUGCUGAGCCGCAGGCCGGUGCUGUGCUGAGCCGCAGGCCGGUGCUGUGCUGAGCCGCAGGCCGCAGUUUUAUGCCGAUGCUGUGCUCAGCUGUAGGCUACAGUUUAAUAUGCUCAGUGCUGAGCAGACCAUCCUGCUAGGGUCUCUGUCCUCACCUCCAGCCUUAAUACAUCUACAUUUAGGUCAUUUAGAAUACGCUCUUAUCCAGAGACUUGGGUAAAACAACCACAUAACUGUCGCAUAUUGCAUUAAUGAAAUGUUCAAUACUUGUAAACCAUAAACUAUAAAAACAUUUUGGUAAUUUAAUAAACUAUUUGUAUAGUUUACUCGCCAUUAGUCAGG